rnacentral:rRNA from 1 species
AUGGACGACUACCUCCGGCUACAUCAAGUUCCUCCCGAAGAUCAAGUGAAGUGCGCCACAAGAAACUUCCAUGACUACGCCUCGACAUGGUGGCUUCACACACCUUCGGAGACCUACGACAUUAGUUGGCCCAAGACGAAGAGAGCUUUGCGGCAAGAGUUUGUGCCUCCAACCUACACGGAACAACUUCUACGCCAAUUGGAGAAAACCACCCAAGGAUCCAAGUCCAUCGACGAGUACAACAAGGACAUGAAGAUUGCCUUGCGACGAGCUGGCAUGGACGACCCCAUGUCGAUGAAGUUCCACUUCGUGAUGGGAUUGCACAAUGACAUCUCCAAGACUAUCUUCCUCACGAACUACAAGUCCCUCGACGACAACUACAUUGGUGCUCUCAAGGUGGAACAUGAACUCAUGGCCAAGGCUUCUCCACCCCAAGCUCACUUCACGACGACCAAGCUCCAUGAGACCGAGCAUGAGGAUAGCACCACCAAGAUGUCCAAGCCCGAUGAGCUCCAAGACGAUGCUCCCAAGUUCGACUUCACCGCCAUCCUUCUUUAUGGCAUUGAUGAUGCCGAGUCUACCUCGACUCUUUUUCAAGACGGUGUGGCGACGAGUACGACUACGGAGACCUUCAAGGACCAAGCUUGGCGGCGAGCGACUUGGUGA